UUUGGUUUAUCCUGCCAGUAGCAUUUGCUUGUCUCAAAGACGAAGCCAUGCACGUUUAAGUACACACAGCCCGUACAGUGAAGCUGCGAAUGGCUCAUAAACAGUUAUGGCUCCUUUGAUCGCUCCAUCUACUACUCGGAUAGCUGUGGUAAUUCUAGAGCCAACGUGCACUGACCUCCCAGGAUGCGUGCAUUUAUCAGACCAAGAUCAAUGCAGGCUUGCCUGGCAGCUUUGGUGACACUAGAUAACCUCUGCCGAUGGCACAGCACCGUGAAGGUGAUGAUACAUUUGGAUGCUUGCCCUAUCAACUUUCGAUGGUACUUUCUGUGCCUACCAUGGUAGCCAUGGGUAACAGGGAAUCUGGGUUCAAAUCCUUAGUGGGAGCCUGAGAAACGGCUAACACAUCCAAGGAAGGUAGCAGAUGCACAAUUUACCCACUCUGCACUCGAGGGAGUGACGAAAAAUAACAGGGCUCUUUCAAGAUCCUUUAAUUGGAAAGAGCACACUUUAAAUCCUUCUUUAAUGAGGAUCCCUUGGAGGUCAAGUCUGGUGACAGCAGCCACGACAAUUCCAGCUCCAACAGCGUAUUUGAAAGAUGCUGGAGUUAAAAAGCUCUUAGUUGGAUCUCUGGAUCGAGCUGGCAUUCAGCCGCGAGGCGAGUUACCGCCUGUCACAGCCCCUGCCUCUCAGCGCCCCCUUGAUGUUCUUAACUGAGUGUCCUGGGGGUCCGAAGCAUUUACUUUGGAAAAAGAGGGCUCAAAGCAGGCCAGUCACCUGAAUACCUCAGAUAGGAAUAAUGGAAUAGGCCUCCAGUUAUAUUUUGGUGAUUUUCUCAACUGGGGCCAUGAUUAAGGGGAACAGCUGGGGGCAUUUGUAUUGUGCCGCUAGAGGUGAAAUUCUGAGACCGCACAAGAGGAACCAAAGUGAAAGCAUUUGUCAAGAAGGUUUUCAUUAAUCAAGAACGAAAGUUCAAGAUUUGAAGACUAUCUGAUACCGUCCUAGUUCCAACCAUAAACAAUGCAGACUAGAGAUCCGGUGGCAUUGUUCCGAUGACCCGGCGUGUAGCUUCUGGGGAAAAAACAAGUCUUUAGGUUCUGGAGGACAGUGGUGGUGCAGGGAGUAUGGUUGCAAAGCUGAGACCUAAAGGAAUUGACAGAAGGGCAACAGCAGGAGUGGAGGCUGUGGCUUAAUUUGACUCAACCUGGGAACCCUCAACCAGCCCGGACACGGAAAGGAUUGACGGAUUGAUUUUUCUUUCUCGAUUCUGUUGGUGGUGGUGCAUGGCUGCUCUUAGUUGGUGGAGAGAUUUGUAUAAUUAAUUCUGAUAACGAACAAGACUCCUUGCUAACAAGUUACGCAACCCCAGCGGUCGACACUCAACUUCUUAGAGGGACAAGUGGGGUUACACAAACGAAAACGGGCAACAACAGGUCUGGGAUGCCCUUAGAUGUCUGGGGCUGCACGUGUGUUACACUGAAUGGAUCAGCGCCUGUCUACCCUUUGCCAACAGGUGCAUGUAACCCACAGAGCUCUAUUUGUGAGAGGGAUUGGAGAUUACAAUUAUUUCCCAUGAACAAGGAGUUCCCAGUAAGUGCGGGUCCUAAGCUAGCAUUAAGUACCUGCCCUUUGUACACACUGCCCCUCAUUAAUACCAUUAGGUCCUCAGGUCGGCCCGGCCGGAGUUGGCAAUGGCCCUGGCGGAGCACCAAGAAGACGUUCAAACCUGACUAUCUUAGGAAGUAAAAGUCUUAACAAGGUUUUUGUAAGGGAUCAGGAGUAAA
rnacentral:rRNA from 1 species